GCUCACGGCUCCGCUCGGCUUUCCGGAAAGUUCCCAUUGCUGAGGCGGCGUUUGAGGAAGUCCUGGGGCGGGCAGAGACCCCUUGGCAAACCUCCACCGCGCCGGCUGGACCACAGGCAGGCUGGCCGCCUCCUUCUGCUGAGCCGAGGGACCCUGUGCUGCUGGUCCUGAUGUCAUCCUGAGCCUUGCUGGCAACAGAAGAUGCACUGAGUGGUGCAGGUUUCUGUGGCCAGCCCCCUGCCAUGGAGGAGGAGGGAUCUCUGCCGGUGGCCGCCUGGCUUUCCGCCUUCCACCUCGACCAGUAUGUGGAGAACUUCCAGCAAAACGGGCUGUGCUCAGUGUGGGACUGCCGGGCUCUGACGGACGAGGGGCUCACCCGCCUUGGGGUGCUGCUGCCCGGCCACCGCCGCCGCAUCCUCCUGGGGCUGCAGAAAGCCUUUGCUGAGGCCCCACUGCCUGCUGGGACCCACCAGCCCCCUGCCACCAAACCUGUCCCCAUGAAACGCCACAUCUUCCGCCUGGGCACUGCAGCAGGGCCGGAGCAGCUGGAGCCCCGGGGCCCGCCAGUGCCCGGUGGGACCCCACUGCUGGAGCCAGACAGGGCUGCAAGCUUCACCCCGCUGCCCCCACCCAUCCCACCGAGGGUGGGCUGCCGCCCUCCCCUCAAAUUCUCAGCACCACUAUCGGGGGACAGCCCCGAGCCACCCCCUGCAUCCUGCAGCCAUCUCCCAGCCCUGGAGGACCCCUCUCCACCGGCCCCUGGGGCGAGACCCCCAUUGCCGCCACUGCCGGCCAAGCGACACCAACUGGAAACCAAGUGCCAGAGCCUGAAGAGCCCCCCACUGCCUGACCGUCCCCCCGUGCUGCCCCCCAGGGCUGUGUCCCAGAGGAGCAUCCCUGUGAAGGAGGAGGUGCCCAUCCCUGAAAGGGCACCCGGUGUCACUCUGCCCUCCCAGCUUCCCCCGCCUCGCACCAGGGCGCCAGCGCCGCCGCCACCACCACUGCCCUCCAAGGCCACCCUUCCCUUCGUGCCAGAGUUUGAUGACUCAGACUACGAGGACUCGGCGUGGGAGGAGGAACUAGCCAGACCGACGGGGGAGAUGGCCAAGGAGGAUGCUGAGCCCAGGAUGGGGCAGCCACGGUCCGUGCGUUUCAACAGCCUUUUCAGUGAAGAUGAGUUUGGCGAGGACCCCCCCAGUGCAUCCCCUGCCAGUGGUGGCAGCAGCUGGAGUGACAGGGACCCCAGCCUGCACCCGCCUGCACCCGACGCCUUCCCUAGCAGCAUCCCCGGAACAUUCAGUGACAGCAUGGAGGGCACCGCUGCCACCAGCCUGCUGUCACCCACCAUCAGAGCAGGGUGGCUGGACAAGAACCCGCCACAGGGGUCCUACAUCUACCAGAAGCGCUGGGUGAAGCUUGACACUGACUACCUCCGCUAUUUUGACAGUGAAAAGGAUAUCUACUCCAAGCGGCUCAUUCCCGUCUCCUCCAUCUCCCGCGUCUCCAGCGUUGGGGACCAGAAAUUCGAGGUUGUCACCAACAACCGCAACUUUGUGUUCCGGGCUGAGAAUGAUGCGGACCGCAAUGAGUGGAUACGGACCCUGCAGCAGACUGCAGAGGAGCGGAAGAGCAAAGCUGGAGCCAGGACAUCCACGUCCUUAGCUGCUGACAGUGCCACUGAGCCGGCCGAUAAGAGUGGCUUCCUGGAGCUGCGGGGCUUUAAGCACAAGCUCUUUGUGGUGGUGGCUGGGGACAAAGUGUUCCUUUACAAGAAUGCGGAGGACUAUCGGCUGGGGAUUGGCAUCACCUACAUCGCGAUGAAUGUGGGGAACGUCAAGGAGGUGGAUCGCCGGGGCUUUGACCUCACCACACCAUACAGGAUCUUCAGCUUCUCUGCUGACUCGGAGCAGGAGAAGGAGGAGUGGGUGGAGGCCAUGCAGCAGUCCAUCACUGAGGCACUCUCCAACUCGGAGGUGGCCGAGAGGAUCUGGGCGGUGGAGUCCAACCGCUUCUGUGCCGACUGCGGCUCCCCCAAACCCGACUGGGCCUCCAUCAACCUCUGUGUUGUCAUCUGCAAGAGAUGUGCAGGGGAACACCGGGGGCUGGGCCCUGGCAUCACCAAAGUCCGGAGCUUGAAGAUGGACAGGAAGGUGUGGACUGAGGAGCUGAUCGAGCUCUUCCAGCAGUUUGGCAACGCAAUGGCCAACCAGUUUUGGGCUGCAAAUGUGCCUCCCAGCGAGGCCAUCAGCCCCACCAGUGGCAGCCAGGAGAGGAGGCGCUUCCUCAUCGCCAAAUACCGGGAGGGCAAGUACCGUCAGUACCACCCGCUCUUCGGCAACCAGGAGGAGCUGGACAGGGCUCUGUGUGCGGCCGUCACCACCAGUGACCUGGCAGAGACGCAGGCUCUGCUCUUCUGUGGGGCAUCGGUGACCUGUGACACCGGGGACCCCCAGUGCCCAACGCCCCUGGCCCUGGCUGAGAGAAGUGGGCAGCGGCUGCAGAUGGAGUUCCUGCUCCACAACAAAACCUCAGAGCCGCCACGCCUGGAGAUGGUGUGCAGUGAGGAGAAGCCCUACUCCGUGCACCUGCCCUCCAUUACCCACAAUGGCUUCCUCUACAAGACCCCCUCCAUGGUCAAGCCCAUCAGUGAGCGGAAGGGCCCAGAAGAGUUCAGCAGGCGGUGGUGCACGCUGCAGGACGGCGUGCUCAGCUACUAUGAGAAUGACCGUAACACUGUGCCCAACGGCGAGAUCAGGGUGGAGGAAAUUGUCUGCCUGGUGAACAACCCACUCCAUGCCCAUGGGAUCGAGAGCACGUUUGAGGUGUACACCGAGGCAGAUCGACUCUACCUCUUUGGGCUGGAGAGCCCUGACUCUGCUCGAGAGUGGAUCAAGUCUAUUGCCAAGUCCUUUGUCCACCCCUGUGCCGAGGAGCUGCUGGCACUAGACUUUGAGCGGCUUGGCCGACUGCAUUACAAAGGGGGUCUCACCCUGGAGCGUGCCCAGGAGGGCUGGUUUGCCCUGGUCGGCUCCACUCUCCAUGUCUGCUCUGAGGAUGGCCGUCGGCAGGAGCCUCUCCAGCUGCGCAAGCUGCAGGAGCUCUCCAUCCAGGGGGACCACGAGGUUCUGGUGUUGGUGGAGAGGCGGAGGACGCUGUACAUCCAAGGGGAGCGGAAGCUAGAUUUCCUGGGCUGGGUCCAUGCCAUCCAGAAGGCCGCGAGCAGCUCGGGGGACACCUUGUCGGAGCAGCAGCUGACGGAGUCGGACGUCCCGCUGCUGGUGGACCGCUGCAUCGACUACAUCACUCAGUGCGGGCUGACGUCUGAGGGAAUCUACCGCAAGAGCGGGCAGAACUCCAAGACCACCAGCCUUCUAGAGGUGCUGCAGCGGGAUGCACGCUGCGUCUGCCUGAAAGAGGGCGAGCACCAGGUGGACGAUGUUGCCAACACCCUCAAACGCUUCUUCCGUGACCUUGGGGAUGGGCUCUUCACUCGGCAGUGGGCCUCGCACUGGCUGUGGGCAACGGCGCUGGAGGAUGAGGGGGCAAAGGUUGGCGAGUACCGGCGGCUCCUGGCUGCCCUCCCUCCAGUGAACCGGGCCACCCUGAAGGCACUCAUCAAUCACCUCUUCAGGGUCCAGUGCUUCUCUGGGGAGAACCAGAUGAACACACACAACCUGGCCAUUGUCUUUGGGCCCACGCUCUUCCAGACGGAUGGGAAGGACUACAAGGCAGGACGUGUGGUGGAGGACCUCAUCAGUCACUACGUGGAGAUCUUUAAUGUCAAUGACCAAGAGAUGAAGAAGCAGCAGGAUGAAAUCACAGCCAUCAUGAAGAUGCGGGAGGCAUCAUCCAGCGGAACACAGCAAGCUGGGGACUUCAUCUGCACUGUCUAUCUGGAGGAGAAGAAGACAGAGACAGAGCAGCAUGUCAAGAUUCCAGCCACGAUGACGGCUGAGGAGCUCACCUUUGAGAUCCUGGACCGGCGGAAAAUUGUCAUGAAGGAGAAGGACUACUGGAGCUGCUUUGAAGUGAAUGAGAGGGAAGAGGCAGAGCGGCCCUUGCAUUACUCGGAGAAAGUUCUGCCCAUCCUGCACUGCCUGGGGACAGAGAGUUACCUGGUGGUGAAGAAGCAGAUGUCCAUGGAGAACAUGCUCAUCUACCUUGCCAGCAGAGUGGGUGACUGCAAGCAUGGCAUGAUGAAAUUCCGGGAGGAGAGGAACCUGCUGGGGCUUGGGCUGAGCACUGGCUUCCAUGAUCGCUACUUCAUCCUCAACCAGUCCUGGUUGCGCCUCUACAAAGAAGUGCGGAGCCUGAGGCAGCGGAGCCCCCCCUUGGAGAGCAGUCACAAGCCAGAGAAGGAGUGGCCUGUCCGAAACCUGAAGGUCUACCUGGGCGUUAAAAAGAAGCUUCGACCCCCGACGUGCUGGGGUUUUACAGUAUUCUACGAGAACGAGAAGCACGAGAAGCAGCAAUGGUACCUGUGCUGUGACACCCAGGCCGAUCUGCGGGAGUGGUUCGCCACCUUCCUUCAGGUGCAGAACGGGGGUGCCCUGUGGCCCUCGGAGCGUCCCAGGAUGCGGGUGGCACGGCAGCAGGAUGCCAGGUUGGGUAACAUCUCCCUCAUCCCGCUGCGGGGCAAUGAGAGCGAGAUGCGGAACAGUGUGGCUGCUUUUGCUACUGACCCUCUAACUUGAUGUGCAGACACGGAGGAGGAGGCUGAGGAUGAAAAGUGAUCUGUCUGCCCUUUGUCCCCAGCUUCUGCGGAACGUCUGAGCUGGAAAACUGACAUGCCAGUUCAUCUCCAAGUGGGGCAGCCCUCGGGGUCUUGUGCCAGCCCCCUGCUCCGGCACCUGCCAGGGUCCUGUUGCCUCCAGAGCCUCCACUGGGCCUUCUCAUCUUCCACUGUGGGGACCACAGGCAGCCAGGAGGGGAGAUGGCAGCGAGGCCACCCCCUAACCCCAGCAGAGCUGGGCUUGGGAGCCACUCCCAGACAGUCCACAGGAUGUCAGCCCCCUGACUCUGUGCCUCAGCUGCCUUUGGCCACCGCUUCUUUUCCCAGCUCUGGGAGGAGAAGCAGAGCCUGGCUGGGAGCUGCAGUCGAGGGCUUUUACGUUUCCUGUUCCAUCCCCUAUUUUUAAGUCUUUGUCCUCUAAAAUGAUAAGGCAGGUGGGAGCUGCCCUUCCUGUGGGAUGCUGCACUAGCCCUUCUUCUCAUGGGAUGUGUGCCUGGCCCCAGCAC